ACAAUGGCGCAUACAAAGAGAAGCGACCUCGCGAGAGCAAGCGGACCUCAUAAAGUGCGUCGUAGUCCGGAUUGGAGUCUGCAACUCGACUCCAUGAAGUC
rnacentral:rRNA from 1 species